UAACGCGUGGGUAACCUGCCUCAUACAGGGGGAUAACAGUUGGAAACGGCUGCUAAUACCGCAUAAUGUCUACGGACCAAAGCAGGGGCUCUUCGGACCUUGCACUAUCGGAUGAACCCAUAUGGGAUUAGCUAGUAGGUGGGGUAAAGGCUCACCUAGGCGACGAUCUCUAGCUGGUCUGAGAGGAUGAUCAGCCACACUGGGACUGAGACACGGCCCAG
rnacentral:rRNA from 1 species